UAGAGCCGGAUGAGGGGAGACCCUCACGUCCGGUUCCGCUUGAUUGAGCAUCAAAUCUUACAUCCUUGGGUGGUUAAUUGAAUAAUUUGAU
rnacentral:ncRNA from 1 species